CACCACCCGCCGGGCCGGACUGGGCAGGGCUGCCAGCGCUCGCUCCCGCCCGGGCUUGGCCGGGGUCCAGGCUGGGCCACACGCCUCUCCUCUGGCCCUGCUCCCCCCGGUCCAGCUCACGCACGGCCUCAGCCCGCCCUUUUAGGUUCCUUCCCGCCUCCUUAGCUGUAGACAGGGACAGAGAGAUGACCAAAGCUUCACUUUCCUUACUCCUCUGUCACCCUCUAACUACCUCCUCCUGCAAGCAUCGUCCCCCGCGCGCUGACCCCCUAAACUUGCACAUUCGUCCAGCACCAGUCUUCAAAUUCAGGCUUGGAGUUCUCAGGUACCAGAACCCGAGAAAGGGACGGCGGUUAUGUUAUCUCUGGGAAGGCAUUGCAGCACGCCCAUCCACAUGAAAACUCUGCAGCACCCCCAAAGCGGCGGGCUCGAUGUCCCCGAACUUCCCUGGCCUACCAUCGCCAUCGCCCCAUUUUCCGCGAUAGAAACACUGAGACCAGAGGGGGCGAAACGCUUUUCCGAUCUGAUGACAGCUUCCAUCUGUAGGGGCGACAGAGCCUGCGGCACCUUCCCCGGGGGACAUGUCUGAAAUGAUUUACCAGAUGCAUCAUCUGCACUUGGAUAUGCAAAGUCUACAUAUGUCCUCUUGUCAGCAGCUUCCGCCGAGGCAGCAUGCAGGACUGGGACUUGCUUAUGGUCCAGACUCUAGAAGAUGAAUCAGCCGGGUUACAUGUUCUCCGUGCAAACAAAAGCAUAAAGUUGAGAGGGCUGCUUGGUUCCUGGAAAAGAACAGCCCUGUGCACUUCAAGCGUUCUGACGAGAGAUUUUCUAAGCUAAUAAGCCAGUCUCUUUGAUUUAAAUCCCAUCACCCAGGUGACAUAAACAUUAGUCACCAAUGGUCCUUUGUCUCAUGCAAAUGGGCUGUGUGAGGCAGCCAUCCCACCCAACUUAUAGUCUGCCGUCUUCUUUCUGGGGCAGGGUCUCAUGUAGCCCAGUCUAGCCUCAAACUUGCUGUACAACUAAGGAUAGCCCUGAGUUUAUGAUCCUCCUCCCUGCACCUCUUUCCGAGGCUGGGAUUAUAAGUGUGCACUGCCCUG